GUAGAUAGCAUUACUAUGCACGAAAUAGGACGCUUUGCCUUCAUUACAUAUAAUUAAUUAAGUAUGUAAGAAAGGGGAAUAAUAUUAUAUAAAGAAGAUUUCUCGGAGUUACAGUUUUAAUUAGAUCCUGCACAGAUCAAGAAUUCGCAUUGUAAACCGCGAUUACAUUUUUUAAUUUCACCAUAAAGAGAUUAGUUCUAUUAUUUCACCGCUAGAGUUUCAAUAAAUCAGAAUACUUUAAAGUCAUUUAAAAACCUUGUUUGUUAUUCUUUUUAAUAUCCAAUGCCAUACUGUCUGCUUUUGGGUAUCUCUAUACACUCUAUGUUACAGUACCAACACUAUGAACGAAAAUAUAUUUUGUUUUUUCUUUCAAAACAAUGGAAGAAGAAGUACGCAAAUAUUUCAAGAUUAAAUGAGGGGAACGGUAUACUUAUUAAUAUAUCGCAAAUAAAUAUUUAUUUAAAAAAACUAUGGAGACUUUGAAAUUUCAUAAAAGAAAUGAUUAUGAAAAAUACUAAUUUCUAUUAUUGCAUGUGACUCUGGAAAUAUUGUAACUUUAUCCUCAGGGGAUUUUUCAUUUAAUGACAAAUAAAUCAAAUAUUUAGGUGAUCAAAUUUAGCUGGUUCAGCUUGUAUGUAACCAACAUAAUUUUGAUUUAUAUUAAAUAAUGCAUGUGUUUUACAUUUAUAGUAUGUAACUAAAUAAAAUAUUUAAAACAUCAAAAAUGUAU